rnacentral:rRNA from 1 species
AUUGAACGCUGGCGGCAGGCUUAACACAUGCAAGUCGAGCGGGGGAAGGUAGCUUGCUACCGGACCUAGCGGCGGACGGGUGAGUAAUGCUUAGGAAUCUGCCUAUUAGUGGGGGACAACAUCUCGAAAGGGAUACUGAUACCGCAUACGUCCUACGGGAGAAAGCAGGGGAUCUUCGGACCUUGCGCUAAUAGAUGAGCCUAAGUCGGAUUAGCUAGUUGGUGGGGUAAAGGCCUACCAAGGCGACGAUCUGUAGCGGGUCUGAGAGGAUGAUCCGCCACACUGGGACUGAGACACGGCCCAGACUCCUACGGGAGGCAGCAGUGGGGAAUAUUGGACAAUGGGGGGAACCCUGAUCCAGCCAUGCCGCGUGUGUGAAGAAGGCCUUAUGGUUGUAAAGCACUUUAAGCGAGGAGGAGGCUACUCUAGUUAAUACCUAGGGAUAGUGGACGUUACUCGCAGAAUAAGCACCGGCCAACUCUGUGCCAGCCGCCGCCGUAA